GUAGUUAGCCGGGGCUUCCUCCUUGGCUACCGUCACUUUCUUCGUCACCAAGGACAGAGGUUUACAAUCCGAAGACCUUCUUCCCUCACGCGGCGUUGCUGGGUCAGGCUUGCGCCCAUUGCCCAAUAUUCCCCACUGCUGCCUCCCGUAGGAGUCUGGACCGUGUCUCAGUUCCAGUGUGGCCGAUCAGCCUCUCAGCUCGGCUACCCAUCGUUGGCUAGGUGGGCCGUUACCCCGCCUACUACCUAAUGGGACGCGAACCCCUCCUUCUGCGGAUUGCUCCUUUGACCCCUGAGCCAUGCGACUCUGUGGUCUUAUGCGGUAUUAGCACUUGUUUCCAGGUGUUAUCCCCCUCAAAAGGGCAGGUUGUUCACGCGUUACUCACCCGUUCGCCACUAGCUAUAAAUCCGAAAACCUAUAGCCCGUUCGACUUGCAUGUGUUAGGCACGCCGCCAGCGUUCGUCCUGAGCAGAUACAACUACUGA
rnacentral:rRNA from 1 species